rnacentral:rRNA from 1 species
AUCAAACCGGGAAAUAGCUCGUACUCCCCGAAAUGCUUUUAGGAGCAGCGUGGAGGUAUAGUAUUACGGAGGUAGAGCUACCAAUAGGACUAGGGGGAGUCAAAUCCUACCAAAUCCUGAUGAACUCCGAAUGCCGUUAGAUAUACUCCGCAGUGAGGGCAUGGGUGCUAAGGUCCAUGUCCGAGAGGGAAAGAACCCAGACCAUCAGCUAAGGUCCC